GCACUGGUCCUUCAGUGGUAGAAUUCUUGCUUUCCACGCAGAAGACCUGAGUUCAAUUCCAGGCCAAUGCA
rnacentral:tRNA from 1 species